GGAGAGGUACUCGAAGUGGUCAUAACGGCACCGACUCGAAAUCGGUUGGGCGGUUAAUCCCGCCACGUGGGUUCGAAUCCCACCCUCUCCGCCA
rnacentral:tRNA from 1 species